GCAGCACCUCGUUAGGCGAGGCUCCUGCACGAACACAGGCCACUGAUCUGACGACGUCGAGAGACGCCCAAGGUUAGGACAGGUCUCCCCGGAUUAAGGGGUGAUCCAAGGUGGCUUCCCCGAGUCGGGACACGUCGUGCAGUGCCGAAGCUCUUACGUGGAGGUGACGU
rfam:Rhodococcus sp. RD6.2 genome assembly, contig: RHCRD62_Contig_2